UGUUCUGUGGCUUAGUUGGGUAAAUCGCCGAUCUGGUGAAUACGGAGUCGUGGGUUCAAAUCCCACCAGAACGU
rnacentral:tRNA from 1 species